rnacentral:rRNA from 1 species
AGACCCGAAACCCGGUGAUCUAGCCAUGGGCAGGUUGAAGGUUGGGUAACACUAACUGGAGGACCGAACCGACUAAUGUUGAAAAAUUAGCGGAUGACCUGUGGCUGGGGGUGAAAGGCCAAUCAAACCGGGAGAUAGCUGGUUCUCCCCGAAAGCUAUUUAGGUAGCGCCUCGUGAAUUCAUCUCCGGGGGUAGAGCACUGUUUCGGCUAGGGGGCCAUCCCGGCUUACCAACCCGAUGCAAACUGCGAAUACCGGAGAAUGUUAUCACGGGAGACACACGGCGGGUGCUAACGUCCGUCGUGAAGAGGGAAACAACCCAGACCGCCAGCUAAGGUCCCAAAGUCAUGGUUAAGUGGGAAACGAUGUGGGAAGGCCCAGACAGCCAGGAUGUUGGCUUAGAAGCAGCCAUCAUUUAAAGAAAGCGUAAUAGCUCACUGGUCGAGUCGGCCUGCGCGGAAGAUGUAACGGGGCUAAACCAUGCACCGAAGCUGCGGCAGCGAACGUAUCACUUAAAGCGAUUCAGCGGGUUACGAUUGACGGAGCGAAGCGACGUCAAAGCGUAUACAAAGUCGAGUCGGUUUAAGGAUACGUUCGUUGGGUAGGGGAGCGUUCUGUAAGCCUGUGAAGGUGGCCUGUGAGGGUUGCUGGAGGUAUCAGAAGUGCGAAUGCUGACAUAAGUAACGAUAAAGCGGGUGAAAAGCCCGCUCGCCGGAAGACCAAGGGUUCCUGUCCAACGUUAAUCGGGGCAGGGUGAGUCGACCCCUAAGGCGAGGCCGAAAGGCGUAGUCGAUGGGAAACGGGUUAAUAUUCCCGUACUUGGUGUUACUGCGAAGGGGGGACGGAGAAGGCUAUGUUGGCCGGGCGACGGUUGUCCCGGUUUAAGCGUGUAGGUGUGUGUUCCAGGUAAAUCCGGUUCACUUUAACACUGAGGCGUGACGACGAGGCACUACGGUGCUGAAGCAACAAAUGCCCUGCUUCCAGGAAAAGCCUCUAAGCAUCAGGUAACAUCAAAUCGUACCCCAAACCGACACAGGUGGUCAGGUAGAGAAUACCAAGGCGCUUGAGAGAACUCGGGUGAAGGAACUAGGCAAAAUGGUGCCGUAACUUCGGGAGAAGGCACGCUGACAUGUAGGUGAAGUGAUUUACUCAUGGAGCUGAAGUCAGUCGAAGAUACCAGCUGGCUGCAACUGUUUAUUAAAAACACAGCACUGUGCAAACACGAAAGUGGACGUAUACGGUGUGACGCCUGCCCGGUGCCGGAAGGUUAAUUGAUGGGGUCAGCGCAAGCGAAGCUCCUGAUCGAAGCCCCGGUAAACGGCGGCCGUAACUAUAACGGUCCUAAGGUAGCGAAAUUCCUUGUCGGGUAAGUUCCGACCUGCACGAAUGGCGUAAUGAUGGCCAGGCUGUCUCCACCCGAGACUCAGUGAAAUUGAACUCGCUGUGAAGAUGCAGUGUACCCGCGGCAAGACGGAAAGACCCCGUGAACCUUUACUAUAGCUUGACACUGAACAUUGAGCCUUGAUGUGUAGGAUAGGUGGGAGGCUUUGAAGUGUGG